CUCCCCAAAACCCAAUGUGAACGUUACCAAACUGUUGCCUCGGCGGGGUCACGCCCCGGGUGCGUYGCAGCCCCGGAACCAGGCGCCCGCCGGAGGAACCAACCAAACUCUUUCUGUAGUCCCCUCGCGGACGUAUUUCUUUACAGCUCUGAGCAAAAAUUCAAAAUGAAUCAAAACUUUCAACAACGGAUCUCUUGGUUCUGGCAUCGAUGAAGAACGCAGCGAAAUGCGAUAAGUAAUGUGAAUUGCAGAAUUCAGUGAAUCAUCGAAUCUUUGAACGCACAUUGCGCCCGCCAGUAUUCUGGCGGGCAUGCCUGUCCGAGCGUCAUUUCAACCCUCGAACCCCUCCGGGGGAUCGGCGUUGGGGAUCGGGACCCCUCACACGGGUGCCGGCCCCUAAAUACAGUGGCGGUCUCGCCGCAGCCUCUCCUGCGCAGUAGUUUGCACAACUCGCACCGGGAGCGCGGCGCGUCCACGUCCGUAAAACACCCAACUUUCUGAAAUGUUGACCUCGGAUCAGGUAGGAAUACCCGCUGAACUUAAGCAUAUCAAUAAGCGGARGAA
rnacentral:rRNA from 1 species